rnacentral:misc_RNA from 1 species
GAUGAAGAACGUAGCGAAAUGCGAUAAGUAAUGUGAAUUGCAGAAUUUAGUGAAUCAUCGAAUCUUUGAACGCAUAUUGCGCCCGCCAGCACUCUGGCGGGCAUGCCUGUCCGAGCGUCAUUUCAACCCUCAAGCCCCCGGGCUUGGUGUUGGGGAUCGGCGAGCCUCCGCGCCCGCCGUCCCCUAAAUCUAGUGGCGGUCUCGCUGUAGCUUCCUCUGCGUAGUAGCACACCUCGCACUGGGAAACAGCGCGGCCACGCCGUUAAACCCCCAACUUCUGAACGUUUGACCUCGGAUCAGGUAGGAAUACCCGCUGAACUUAAGCAUAUCAAUAAGCGGAGGA